rnacentral:rRNA from 1 species
AUUGAACGCUGGCGGCAGGCUUAACACAUGCAAGUCGAGCGGGGGAAGGUAGCUUGCUACCGGACCUAGCGGCGGACGGGUGAGUAAUGCUUAGGAAUCUGCCUAUUAGUGGGGGACAACACCUCGAAAGGGAUGCUAAUACCGCAUACGUCCUAAGGGAGAAAGCAGGGGAGCUUCGGACCUUGCGCUAAUAGAUGAGCCUAGGUCGGAUUAGCUAGUUGGUGGGGUAAAGGCCUACCAAGGCGACGAUCUGUAGCGGGUCUGAGAGGAUGAUCCGCCACACUGGGACUGAGACACGGCCCAGACUCCUACGGGAGGCAGCAGUGGGGAAUAUUGGACAAUGGGGGGAACCCUGAUCCAGCCAUGCCGCGUGUGUGAAGAAGGCCUUAUGGUUGUAAAGCACUUUAAGCGAGGAGGAGGCUACUUUAGUUAAUACCUAGAGAUAGUGGACGUUACUCGCAGAAUAAGCACCGGCUAACUCUGUGCCAGCCGCCGCCGUAA